GCGAGCGUGGCGAAACUGGUAAACGCACAGGACUUAAAAUCCUGCGUCUUCAACGACUUGCGGGUUCGAAGCCCGCCGCUCGCACCA
rnacentral:tRNA from 2 species